UUACACUGGAGCACAAAUAAAUAAGCACUAAAUUAUUGUAAAAUAUUGUCAAUGCACUAAAGAAAGCAGAAUUGAUCUUCAAACAACAUCUUAUUACUUCAGAAGUAUCAAAGUACAUUUAAUUACAUCUUACCUAAAAAAAUCAAGUACAAAAAUGAAAAGAAAAUUAAUAUGUAUUUAUACUGUGUAUAUAGAAACGGCUAAUAAUAUAUGGUUACAGUUAGCCUCUAGCUACUCCUUAGUCCUACACAAUCUCAGGCACAUACCUGACAAUUUCUAAUGAAAUAUAAAAAAAAGCAACAUGACAUUCAGUUUCAAGAUAUUGGUAAAUGUAUUACAUUGGAAUGAACACAGAAUGAUUUCAUUUUAUUUAAAAACCCUGUCAUUUAAAAACAUAGUGCCAUUGUCCACUUAAAAAUAAACAGCCCAAACCAAAAAACCCCAUACUAUUUUAUACCAUUUGCUUUAAUUUGUCAAAAGGAGCGAUAAAGUAGACAUACAUUGGCUAAUAUACGUAAACACAUUUUUAGUGCAAGAAUAACAAGACCUGUGACUUUACUGUGCUUUCUUGAAAUCACAGUGCACCUUACACAAAUUGCUACACUAUAAUGUUUAACUUCAGGAGUUUAAAGCAAAAUAAGUGCAUACCAAACAAUUUCAUAUAUACAGUCUCCAUAAGUGUGUGUAUAUAUGUGAUCUGUAUGUAUAUACAGAUUGCAUAUUUAUACAGACUACAGCUUUAAUGACCGUGUGUAACUAAGCACUGUCAUUCACCCUGUGACACAGAAGCUGCUGAGACAAGAGGUGAUGUAGGAGAUGUGUGACAGCAUUGUGAUGGCAGCUCUCGGCAGGACGAUGUGCCUUUUACUCGAGCCAUGGGGUGGGCCAGCAGUCACGGGACAGGGCAGUGGCUGUGUCCUGCUCUACCUCUGUCCCUGACCUUUGGAAACUGCUCUGCCUGAGCCUCACGUCCCUCCUCAGUAAAACGGCUCUCGCAAGCAUGAGGUUUACUUCAGAUUUCUAAAGUGCUUUGAAGGAUUGCAAGCCAAUUCCAGAAGCAGCCAGGAGGAAGAAACGGCACAGCCGGGAGAACGCGUUACGUGGGCUUCUGCUUCCAAACAGCAUGAAAUCAAGAGGGAUUUCCCAACAGCCUUUCAAGGGGUCUGAAAUCCAGCCCACAGAAACAACACGAGGAAAUCUGACACGGCAUAAGUAAGGAUGUGCUGCCGGAUUUAAAAAUAAUAAACAUGUAAACAUAUUUUGUCGCCUUUAUUUUCUGGACCAUCGGUAAAUGUGGACGGGGGUGGCGGCUGCAGUGGCACUGCCUCACCCCGCUGAGCCACCGGCUCUCUCUGCCAAGGGCUGCACAAUGCUUAGUCACAGUGAACCAUGGUCUCUGCUAAUCAAUGGAACGUCUUCAAGGAAGAGAUUCUGUCGCAGGCCGUGCUGCAAAAAAUUUAGUUCCUUGGCCAAAUCAUUUUAGUAAAUGGUUCAUAUAAAACCAAGGACAAUUAAUCUGGUUACCAUUAUGGGAAAACAGAUGCAGAACAAUUAAUAUUUUAAAUGCAACUUGGGCAGCCGCACUGAGCACUUCUACUUUCACUGCUUGCAGGUUUGCUGUUUCCCACCAGAACUCUCUCCUUUGUCCAUCCCACCCCCCUAGCUGAGGACAUCUAACAGGUGAGCACUGUACUGGUGUGUUUUUUCCUAGGAAGUUCACCACCUGCAGAUAGAGAAAGAGAGUGAAGAAAAACACCAGGCAAAGGCCCAGAAGUUUGGACAUUCACCAAGAAGGUGUUGGAGGUAGGGCUGAAUUCCUUGCUCCUAAGCAGGCAGUAAAAGCUGUGUGAUGACUGGAUGUGUAGGAAGCAAUAUAGGAUGGUUGGAUAAAUUCUCUCACCUGAAUGUGACUGAGUGCAAGAGUAAACCAGGAUGUCAGACAAGUUCUUGGUAAACACACUCACCCUUUGAUUAGUCAUCAGCCUCUAGUUUUCCUUCAAAAAUCUUCUUCAAAGCAAAUGCUUGUACCAAACUUGAACAUCAACAACAAAAGGUAAGAAACUCCUGCUAUACAAAACUAUGCUUUUCCAUACAGUUUAAUCACCAACUUUGUUAUCUUUAGAAGAAACAAGUCUAUGUUGCCACCUUACUUUAACUAUUUUCUCUCAGUUUUCUGAUAUUUUUUAUUCCCAAAACAUUGGAAGUAAAUAUUAUUUAGAUCUUUUAUAUACUUUUGGGUUCUAUGUUGGUAGUGCCAUGGAACAAGAAGUAAUAAACCCAUCUUCAACGAAGAUAAAACAACUUCACAUAACCUCAAAACAAUGCAAAAUUUAAAUCUUUCAAAGUAAAAAAAAGAUCCUUUCUGGUGUGUGUUUUAAUGCUUUAUGAAGGUCAAAGAAACAAGUUAGACAAAGUAGUUCCCUCCUCUGCAAAGUGAAAUGGGACAUUUUUGUGUGUGCCUACAUUAGCAGUGGGCCUGAUCUCAUAUCUCAUCGGUUUGAAAUUUCAUAUUAUUCCAGAAUGAUAAUUAGCAGUCCCAAUGGUUUCCAAAUACAUGUAUUGCUUAAAUUAGAUUGCCCUGAGCUAGACCACAGAGCUGUCUUGGAGCAGAGGUUUGAUGGGCAGAACGUGUCCAGUUCAAUCACUCUUAGAGGCCAGGACUAGAAGCCAGAGGUCAGUACAUGCCAUAGCUCUCUGCCACAUCAGAAUUUACUGGGAAAAGCACAUAAUCCCAGGGAAAACUCAGAACAGGCUUUGGGGAACAGACAGUGACUCACACUGCCAGGAAGCCCCUGGGGUCACAGAGGACUAUUUCUGUUUUCUCUUGCCCUGGCCCUGGGCACCCCAGCCCUGACUGCCGGGCGCUGCUGGCCCUCGCUGUGUCAUGACACACUGCACUAGCACUUCCACUAAAGUGCUCAAAUCUGGGGUGUUUGCAGCAAGAAAGAGAUAUAUAAGUGAACAUGGUUCUUUCUUUGUUCAUAACCAAGCAGGAUAGUUUGUUUUGACAGAGAGAGUCAUAGUUGCAGAUAGAAAAAGAAUAAAAUAUUAUCCAAUGAUACCAUUAAGCAGCUACUGAUAGACACAACUUUACACACAGGCUAGCUGUGUUCACCAGGUGUAGAAAAUAUCUUGUAUCUUUUUGUGGAUGAAUAUUCACACUAUGAGGUCAGACUCUUGGGCUCUUCAGGAACUGGACUAUUGCUAUAAGGAGCGCUGGGCAAAGUGCAUCAGGACAGGCCCCAAGCAGGGCUGUGAAAGUUCCUGAGCACAUGAACGACACUGAAAAAAGACAUUGUGAUACCUGAAAGUUACAUACAAACCAAAUUAUCCCAUGUAGCAUAGCCUUUUCAAAUGAAAAACCUGAUGGCUGUAAAAAGAAAAAUCCAUGAGCAGAACUAAAAGUAUAGAGUGAAACAACCUCAGCAGCAGGCCUGGGACUCUCUUAGCUGUGAAAAAUUUUACUUAUUCAUGUGCUACAUAAAUACAUGGAUGGAUAAUGCUGUCUCAGUAAAAAGACAUUUUGUGCUGCAUAAAUCCCACACAUAUCCCCUUGUCUCAAGCCAAGCCCUAGGUAACCUUAGCCCCAAACACUGGGCAGGCAGGAGACAAGAGGAGAGCAAGUGCCAGGAGCAACUCUGCUCCCCAAGGUCAGGCCACUGGUGUGCAGUGUGGUAGGAGGAUAAAGCCAUGCUAAUUUCCAGUGCUAAGAGGUGUUUCAGGAAUCCUGUCAUUGAAGGUGCUUAUAACUUUUCAUGAGUGCCUGUGAAAAUAUGUGCUGCUAAAAAUGCCACGUGGGGAAAGAAAUACCUGAAAUAUUUUACACAGGUCUAUUAGUAGUCACUAAGUUGGAAAAUGUUGACAAUUUUCAUUCAUUUUAAAGGAACCCUUUCUAAUAUUUGAUGUGACCACACGAUCAUACUCUGGACACAUCUGAUCAGGGUGUUCUUUUAUAGUGUAUGAACUUUUAAUGACUUAAAAAAAUAUCUUCCACUACAGUUUACAUGAGGGCUUUAGACAACAGCAUAUACCCUUCAUCUGUUUCUCCUCAUGACAUCCUGCCUGUUAAAUUAUUUGCUUGCCUUGUUUUAAUGCUGUUGGCUUAUUUGCUUAUUUGAUGUGAAAUUGGAAGCUCUGGGCAAUAGGAGACCCCCAUAAUUCUGUUGUGUUUUCAUAAUUUUUUCCUACUAGUGUAGGUCCCCACUUCUUGUGAGUACUGAGU